rnacentral:rRNA from 1 species
CCUACGGGAGGCAGCAGUGAGGAAUAUUGGUCAAUGGACGAGAGUCUGAACCAGCCAAGUAGCGUGAAGGAUGACUGCCCUAUGGGUUGUAAACUUCUUUUAUAUGGGAAUAAAAUGUUCCACGUGUGGGAUUUUGUAUGUACCAUAUGAAUAAGGAUCGGCUAACUCCGGGCCAGCAGCCGCGGUAAUACGGAGGAUCCGAGGGUUAUACGGAUUUAUUGGGUUUAACGGGAGCGUAGGUGGAUUGUUAAGUCAGUUGUGAAAGUUUGCGGCUCAACCGUAAAAUUGCAGUUGAAACUGGCAGUCUUGAGUACAGUAGAGGUGGGCGGAAUUCGUGGUGUAGCGGUGAAAUGCUUAGAUAUCACGAAGAACUCCGAUUGCGAAGGCAGUUCACUGGACUGCAACUGACACUGAGGCUCGAAAGUGUGGGUAUCAAACAGGAUUAGAUACCCCAGUAGUC